GACAGAGGGUGCAAGCGUUGUUCGGAAUCAUUGGGCGUAAAGGGCGCGUAGGCGGCCACCGCAAGUCGACUGUGAAAUCUCCGGGCUUAACCCGGAAAGGUCAGCCGAUACUGCGGGGCUAGAGUGCAGAAGGGGCAACUGGAAUUCUCGGUGUAGCGGUGAAAUGCGUAGAGAUCGGGAGGAAGGCCGGUGGCGAAGGCGGCGCUCUGGAACAUUUCUGACGCUGAGGCUCGAAAGCGUGGGGAGGCAAACAGG
rnacentral:rRNA from 1 species